UGUGUUAGAGAGCAUAAGAAAUAUCAAUGCGAUGAGUUAAGUGUCAAUUUCUUUUCUUCCCCAGGGUUGCAGAAAACAGAAACCAACUCCAGCUAGCUCCCAUGAAAGGAAUUUAUUGAUAGGACACCCGGGUCCUGACAUCUAAGAGUUAAAAUAACCAGUCUUUGGAUGAGCCAGAGCCAGGCAACUCCAGGGCCCUCAGAAAAGGACAAUUAUGGACUUCUCUAGAACACUGACAUUCAUAUUUCUCAUUUUAGUGACCUGUAGUGUCAGAUGAAUGAGCUCUGGCCAGGAAGGUAGGGUCCAUGAUUGCUAGAGGACCCUUGUCUGUAUCAGGGGCAAUUCCCAAGGCAAGGGGAAUAUUAGGAGCUAGUAAAUUUUUAAGGCUUUAAUGAGGUGUAAUUGUCAUAUAAUAAACUAUACCUAUUUAGAAUGUACAAAUGGAUGUAUUUUCAUAUAUACACAAAAUUAUAUACAAUUAUAUUUAUGUUAUAUAUUAUAUCUAUUUAUCAGGAAAACUAUAACUGUGAUGAAAAUAAUGAAUAUAUCCAUCAUCCUUGAAAGUUUCUUUGUGCUCCUCUGUAUUCCCCCUCUCCUACCUCUCUGUGCUCCUCUACCUGUUCCCAGCCAAUCACUGAUCUGCUUCUGUCGCUAUAGAUUAAUUUGCAUUUUCCAGAAUUGUGUAUAAAUGGGAUCAUAUAAUAUGUGCUCCUUCUUGUCUGUUUUUUUUCACUUGGUAUAAUUAUUUUGAGAUUCACCUAUGUUGUAGCUUGCAUCAGUGCUUCAUUCUUUUUCAAGGCAUGUAAUAUUCCAUUGUAUGGAUAUACCACAGUUUGUUUAUCCAUUCACUUCUUCAUGGGCAUUUAUGUUGCUUCUGGUUUGGAGCUCUUACCAAUAAACUUGCUAUGAAAAUUCAGGCACAAGUCUUUGCUUAGGUAUGUGUUUUCACUUUUCUUGGGUAAAAACCUAGGACUAGAAUGGCUGGGUCAUAUUCUAAGUGUAUAUUUAAUUUUUUCAGAAUCUGCCAAGCAGUUUUCCAAAGUGGUUGUUGCAUGUGUUACAUUCCCACCAGCAAUGUAGGAGAGUUCCAGCAGUUCCAUAUCCUCACCUCCACUUGCUUCGUCUAGGUGCCUCUGAGAGAAGUACUCAAAGUAUGGGGAUGCCCACCAAAGCUUCUUUGGUCCAAUGAAGACAGAGGAGGCUGACAAAUUUUAAUUUCUGGCUUUGUCCUACAAGGGACCACAGUAAUACUGUCAAGAAGAUCCCUGGGAAGGCUAGAAUUUAUAUGCUGUGUGUGCACUUUAAGAGCUCCUGGUGGAUGGUGCAAAGGACAAGAUAAAAAUAAAGAAGGGAAGAUAAUGAGCAAACUCCUCUUUGUUGGCAAAAAUCUUUGUUUUUCUGCCUCCAAAGUUUUCUGUAACGUUUCCAUUGACCUAGAAGCUAUUGUGCUUUCUGGUGAGUUUCUGUGAAGGCCCUACUCUAUGGGGAGAAAGGCCAACAAAAGAGCAAUUCCUGAUGCAUGGGAUGGAAUUGUCUCUUCUAUAGAAUCAAGUUGUAAAAUGAAUCUGGACAUUUGUCUGGGGGUGUCUUAACACUGGAAGCAGCUUUACGCAAGUAAGAAAGAAAUGGAACUAGUGAUCAAAGUGUAUUGAUAUUUUUAGGAUCUUGGUACAUAUUGCCAGUGUGAACCCAAGAGAGGUCACAGUAGUUAAUACACACACUCGCUGGGUCGGAGCACUCAGCAACAUUAUUACUACCUUUUACAUCUUUACUAAUGUGGUAGACUGAAAAAGACGUUGAGCCCGAUUCAAAAGUCUGCUUACUGUAUGGUUCUAUUUAUGUGAUAUACUGGAGAAGGAAAAGCUAUUGGGGGAAAAAUGUUGGAUCAGGGUUUGGGUGUGAGAAGGAUCGUGACAGGAGAGAGAUCGGAGGGAAUUUCUUGGGGGUAAUGGAAAUGUUCCGUAUCUCGAUUUUGCUGGUGUUUUCAUGACUAUAUGUAUUUGUCAAGACUCACUGAACUAUACACUUGAAAAGGGUGAAUUUUGCUGUACAUAAAUUAUACGUCAAUAAACCUGACUUUUAAAAAAUGACAUUGCCUUGUGGUUUU